UUUAACUGUCAUAACACCCCCCUCCCCCCCCAAACCAAGAGACCUUCCCCUUUCACCAUCUUCAUCACCUCUCUGAGCUUCCGCCAACAGGCGCUGCCGGAAAUCACCCACAGCGGCAGCCAGUCACGAAAUCACCCCAAUCUUUACCACAUAGUCCCCACACCUCCCUCCUCACUAGUAUCUCACUAAUUUUUCCAAAAUCCCCACCCAUCUUCUCCAAUUUCGGAUAUAAGAAAGUCAGAAAAAACCUAAAUUUGAUUUUUAUGGAAAUUUCAAGAACGUUUUGGGUCAAACUUACAUCUUACAUGAGUUGAUUGCUCUUGACACGAGCAAUCGAUUCAUGAUAGUUUGGUUCAUUUUGAAAGUCACCGGAUGGUAUUCCCAUGGCAAUGACCGCCAAAGUUUCAUCGCCUUCAUCGUUCGUCGAUAUUCAUUUCUGGACAAAAUCAGUAUACCCCUCCUCUCUUGUUCCUUUGUUUCUUUUUCUUUUUCUGUUUUGAAAUUAUCAGUUAAUGUUUUAAUUUCUUAUUUAUUUUGUUUAAUUGAUUCCAUUGUCUAGCUAAUUGCGGGAUCGUUACUUUAAUCGCAUAUGUUUAGGCUAAUCAAAUUAGUUCGGUGAUUUAGUUAGGUUUAACUAGUAGUUUUGUUUCUGUUCUGUUUGGUCUUUGAUUUGGUUUUAAUUGUUUGUUUGUUAAUGUUGAGUAUCAAUUGGAAUUAAAUGGUUGAAAGAGUAAUAAUAGAAACUUUAAGGGAGUUAAUUGGAAGCUAAAAUCAAGAAAUCUAAGGCAGUAAUACAUAAAAUUGCUAAAUGAGGGAUUAAAGUGCAAUAAAUUAAUUAAGUUAAAUCAGAUUUUUGGAAAAAAAGUUGAAUUUUCAGAAGUUUAAAAGAGUUAAAAUGAAAAGAAACUUCUAGAAAGGGACAGCUGUCCCAAUAUUGUUUAGAUAAGAUGCAAAAUUUAAGUACAUCUAUCCGUACAAAAGAUGUCAUUUACCUGAAUUUAAGGAAAGCUGGCAGAUUCUUUUGUACCUGAUUUUAUUCCAUCAUAAGGUUUUCACAUAUUCUAUAUAAGGAGGGCACUUGCUGAAUUUUCGGACAGACUUGACACACGAUUUACACAAGAAAAACCCUGAGAAAUUCAGAGAUUGGUUUCUCCAUUUUCAUUGUGAGUCUUUUAUUCUUCUGGGUUUGAAAGCUAGAAAGAGAAAACAGAAAACAAAGAAAAAUAGAGAUUUUCGGACUGCUUUUCUUCUCCAUAUUUUACUGGUUUUCUCCAUGUUGCUGGGAUUUUUGGAUUGAGGUGUGAAGCUGUUGUAUUGGAUUUUCUGAUGCUGUAUUUUUGCUGUUGCUUCUUCCCAGUUUUCAGAGAUCUAUUUUCUUUUUUAUUGUCUAUUCUGCUGAUAAAGGUACACAUCUAUGAACUCACAUGUUUGAAUUGGGCAUAAUCAAGUGUUCUUCUGUGAUUUUUCAGGCAUUUAUGGUGUCUUUAGUGAUGUGGUGUUUUAGAUUUCACGUGAAAGGUUGUAAAUGUUUAAGUGAAUGAAAUUGAAAUCUGCUUGACCUUAUUAUUUUAUUAUUGCCCUUCAACUUCUCUAAAGCAUAUGCUAUCUCUGUUAGGUCAUGUUCUAAUAUCCCAGACUAUUUUGAGCAUGAAUUCUAGUUCAAAUAUGUUCCUAAUGUUGUACUAAGUAAUGUUGGUAGUAAAAUCGUGACAGGAAAAGGUUAUUGCUGCAAUAAACAUGGUUGUAAUUUAUAGAGGUGACUACUAAGUUGGCUAAAUCGGUGAAGCCAAACUCGGCCAUCAGAGGUGUUUGAAAUCAUUGCAUAUUUUUCUCGAUUGAAUUUUUUUGAUGUUUGGGACUGUAAUAUGAAACUUUGACAUGUAAUUGUAAUUGAAAUGAUUUAUGAAGUUAAAUGUUAGAGUAAAGAUUUGAUUGCAAAGUACAAAUGCAAUGGCAAUGACUCCAGUCGAUUAUUUUUCUGUUGUAUGU
rnacentral:lncRNA from 1 species